CACAGCAGCACAGUGCCAUUGGGCAAUGCUGAGCCUUUUGCCAGGCUCAGUUUUCUGCAGGUGCUGGAGAAGAAACCUGAGGUUGGCAGUGACCAGAGCUGGUUAAAGAUGCAUCUUUAAGAAAGUUUGUGAGGUGCCUGUGCUCACAAGGGAAUGAAGGUUCUUAUACACUACUGUGCAUUUCAAAUGUGUCAAGAGAGCUCAACUGACACAAAGACUGUCCUCAUCUGGAAGACCUCCAGUGCAGGAAGAGCACCUACUGGGGGACAACCACAUACCAGGGACACCUCAGCACGACUCCUGUGACAACACCAGGAGGCAGCAGGGACCAGCAGCACUGAUCCACAGACUGCAAAGUUCUGGCACUCGAAGGCUUUCUGAGUUCAGUCUCAAAAGAAGAAGAUUUGCACCCAUUGGGCCAUUGCGUGGCUGCUGGAGCUGUGUGGUGCUGGCUUAUUUCCUUUGCUUGGUGGUCAUUAAUGCCUUCUUCAUUAGCGAUUUCACAGUGCAAAAUGAAAACCGCUUGCAUCAUCCUCAGGCUCACUGGAGCUGAUAAACUUGUAAAUGUGAGACCCUGUCCUGCCAGGAAUGUGAGCAGGAGGAAGCGUCCCCCCAGGAGCAGAACAUCCCAUACCCACAGGUGAAUCACAGCAGCGCCAUCCAGCUGUGCCCCUUCCCCUGCUGCCCAGAAAGGCAGCAGCACUGGGUGCUGCUCGGGAAGGGGGCAAACAGGAGCUCAACUCCUCACCAAGGGGAAAGGCAGAGAGUUUUUGUAGCACUGUUAAUGGGACGCUGCGGGGCAGAGUGCACACAUCUCCGUGUCUCUUCUGAGUUGCUCUGACGUAUCUCCAACAGAGCACCCAUGUGAGCACACAUAUCUCUCAGUAGAGGAGUUUUGUUGGCAUUGCUCAGGUUGAGAGGGGAGGGCAAGGCAGCCUUUUGCUUGGGAACCACAGAAAAGGUUCGAGGGCUGUGCAAGCUGAGAACUGUGUAAACAGAGAGGAUAAAUUAUCCCCUAAGUUACGAAUGUGCUCAGAAGCAGAGCUACAGCCAACCUUUGCAUUAGAUGGGAACAGCUGCAUACACCAUAGCCUCCAAAUUUCCAUAGAAACUUGGAUCAGCCAUAGAUUAUCUUCAUUUUGUAAAUGUUUUAAUUAUUAUGCUAUAAUAUAGUUCUGUGGGGAUUGAAACGUUAAGCCAAGGCUCUGUGGAAGCCACAUUGUAAAAGCAGAUUCUCCAGACCGUCUUUCACAAAAAGCAAAGCCGUUUCAGGAUUAAGACUUAUGGUUUCUGAUAGAUUUGCUUUUUUUUCCAUGCUACUGCAUGCACUGCUUUAAAUAAAGAAACCCCCAC
ensembl:lncRNA